UCCUACGGGAGGCAGCAGUGGGGAAUUUUGGACAAUGGGGGCAACCCUGAUCCAGCAAUGCCGCGUGUGUGAAGAAGGCCUUCGGGUUGUAAAGCACUUUUGUCCGGAAAGAAAACCGCUUCUCUAAUACAGGGGCGGGAUGACGGUACCGGAAGAAUAAGCACCGGCUAACUACGUGCCAGCAGCCGCGGUAAUACGUAGGGUGCAAGCGUUAAUCGGAAUUACUGGGCGUAAAGCGUGCGCAGGCGGUUCGCUAAGACCGAUGUGAAAUCCCCGGGCUUAACCUGGGAACUGCAUUGGUGACUGGCGGGCUAGAGUAUGGCAGAKGGGGGUAGAAUUCCACGUGUAGCAGUGAAAUGYGUAGAGAUGUGGAGGAAUACCGAUGGCGAAGGCAGCCCCCUGGGCCAAUACUGACGCUCAUGCACGAAAGCGUGGGGAGCAAACAGGAUUAGAUACCCUGGUAGU
rnacentral:rRNA from 1 species